AGUUGUUCCGCCAGGAGCACCGCUGGGUAGCUAUGUACGGAAGGGAUAAGCGCUGAAAGCAUCUAAGCGUGAAGCCCCCCCUCAAGAUGAGAUUUCCCAGUAUGUAAGACCCCUUGAAGACGACGAGGUAGAUAGGUUGGGGGUGGAAGUGCAGUAAUGCAUGGAGCUGACCAAUACUAAUCGGUCGAGGGCUUAUCCUAAA
rnacentral:rRNA from 1 species